rnacentral:tRNA from 1 species
GGAGAGGUGUCCGAGUGGCUUAAGGAGCACGCUUGGAAAGCGUGUGUACGUUAAUAGCGUACCGUGGGUUCGAAUCCCACCCUCUCCG